GUAAUAACACUGAUAAGGACGAGUAUGUUAAUUUUAGCCUUUAAAGGGAAUGGGGAUUAUAAACUGGAAGUCUCCUAAGGUUAAUUAACUGAAAACCACCUUUGAGUUGGCCCUUGAACAAUUAUUAAGUAAGGGAGCCCGGUGAGAACCGUUAUCUAUACUAAGCGAAAUCUAUGUUAUUAAUAUAGAUUUAAUUAGAGUGGAACCACGACCUCUUCGUCUCUAAA
rnacentral:ncRNA from 1 species